rnacentral:lncRNA from 1 species
AAAAGGCAGCCAGAAGGACACCUACAAGAUAUUUCCAAGAAAAGGAGAAAUUUGGGCAGUCUUCAAGAACUGGGAUAUUAGAUGGAAAUCUGAUGUAGACCCUAACCGGAAGUUUGAAUAUGAAUUUGUAGAAAUCUUGUCAGAAUAUACUGAGGAUGUUGGUGCAUCUGGUGCAUAUUUGGGCAAGGUUAAGGGCUAUGUGAGUCUUUUUUGUCGAAUCAGGAAGGAAGGAAAAGACAAAUUUCAAAUUCCACCAGGUGAAUUGUUCCGCUUCUCUCACAUGAUUCCAUCAUUUAAAUUGACGGGUGAGGAAAGACAAGGUGUGCCAAAGGGAUCUUUUGAACUCGAUCCUGCUUCUUUAUCCCAAAAUAUCGAAGAGAUUGCUGUUGCUGAAGAUAUGGCGGUUGAUAUUGGUAAGACUCAUGCUGACAGCACAGGUUCAAAAUCAUCAGAUAAAGUGAAAUUCAAUGUGGAAUCUGAAGGACGUACUGCUGCUCAGCAGGCUAGUGAUAUAAAAUGUGAAGUUGCCAAUGAUGAUCAUAGUGUUCCUUCAACUUCAACCCCAGAAGCUCUCGAAAUUCCAGAACCAGAAUUCUUUGACUUCAAUGCUGAGAAAUCCUUUGAAAAGUUUCAAGCUGGUCAAAUCUGGUCUCUGUACAGUAAUGAGGAUGGCUUACCAAAGUACUAUGGUCAAAUUACAAAAUCUGGUACUAGUCAGGAUUUCAAAUUGCAGCUCAAGCGGCUUGUUCCAUGUGCACUACCGAAUGAUGUUAUACAAUGGCAAGAUAAAGAUAUGCCUAUUUGCUGUGGAAGAUUUAGGACUAAAAAGGGUGAAUCGCAGCCCUAUACAUCUGCUGUUUCCUUCUCACAUCAAUUAAGUGCAGAACCUGUUGGUAAGAAAAAUGAAUAUACCAUCUUUCCUAGGAAAGGUCAGGUUUGGGCACUGUACAGGAACUGGUCUGCUGAAAUUAAACAUUAUGAAUUGAAUGAAUGUAAAUAUGAUGUAGUGGAAGUGCAGGAGGAAAAUGAUUUGGUGAUCAAAGUUUCACUUUUGGAGAAAGUUGAAGGUUUCAACUCAGUUUUCAAGGCUCAAUUAGAGGAUGGUUCAGCUGUUACAAUGGAGGUUCUCCGUGUUGAACUGCUUAGAUUCUCCCAUCAGAUUCCUGCUUUUCGACUAACGGAAGAGAGGGGUGGCAGCCUGAGAGGCUUUUGGGAACUUGACCCUGCAGCACUGCCUGUUCAUUAUUUUGCUACUUGAAAUGACAGGUUUAUUUAAGUGCCAUCUAUUUGCAGUCAAUAUCAACAGCCAGGGCAUGUUUGAGAUUGCUCUUUUGGUAAUGGAUUUUUGGCAUCAAUCUCUCAACUGUGUUAUGAAGUUGUUUUCGGAAGUUUUAUGCAGUGCUUGUUUCUUUUGGUCUCAGUUUAUCUGCAUUCAAUAGAAAGAAAUUUGUCUGCUGACUCUUUGGUCCCUUUAAUUUUGGGUUGGAGCUUGGUUGAUUCGGCCACAAAUCAAUGGUGGGGAUAGCAAAUUAGCUGAAGCCUAAAACUUAGAUUUCGUCACUCUGUUGCUGACAGUAGAUUGUCUUACGCGACUUUAUAGUUUCAUGUGAACCCUCUCAUUGUAAGAUGCUUAUGUUAUCCCCUUUUAAUUUGGAUGUAGGGAUCAAAUUUAGCAGCUCACAGCAAUUGUAUCAAUGCUGCACUAUUUUUAGGGGUUAAAGCUAUGUUUAAUGGGAUUUGAUAGUAGCAUUAAAUAUGGGUAACUAUUGAUGCAAUCAGGUCCAAAACCAGUGGGAUAGUAGUUUAAUGAUCGAGUAGAUGUCAAUACAAUGGUUGGUUUUAUAUUUAUAAUGGUUUGUCCUAGUUUAUAGAUUGAUGGUUGUCUCUCUUCUUGCCUUUGUCCUUUUUGCCUUUUUAUUUGUGCUUGCUGCAGGGACUGCAAGAAACAAAUCUAUCUAGGUAUGUGUCUAUUUCGAUUUCUGUUAGGAUUCCUUGUUAUUAUUCAAGAAACUUGACUCAAAUUGUGAAAGGCCAUUGUGUUCUUCUCAUGGGUACUGCAGGGACUAUCGCUCUGUGACAUUAGGUUAUUGAAGGUUAUACAUUCUAAUCAUAUCUAUGUUCUUUAUAUUCAACAACAAACUACUUUCUCGGUCUUGUUCUUUAUGUUCUCUAUAUUUAAGUUUAGUAACGGAAAUUUAGAAACGGACUCAUCUGUUCUGCUUAGAAUGGCAAUGUAAGUAUGCUUCCAUCUAGGGUGGCAUUGUAAGUAUGCUUUUAUCUAGGGGUUGAGCAUUCGGUUAAUUUGAACCAAUUCAAAUAAUCGAACCCAAUAAUAUGAGGUUUAUUACAAAAAACGGUUGCGCCAAAUAAUCGAACCCAAUGAUAUGAGGUUUAUUACAAAAAACUGCAACCGUCCGAAUAAAUGGAUUAAUAUUUUCAGUUGGUUAAUUAAAACCGACUACGAGAAAAUAUCUAGAUUCAAACUUUUGCAAUAUAUAUGUUUUUGUCUCCAGAUUUGCAGUUUGCACUCUUAAAACAACUAUAUACAUAUAUGCUUAUAAGUUUACACUCUUAAAGCAACUAGAUACAUAUGCUUAUAAAUUUAGACAAUUGUAUAGAAUAAAAAAAAUAAAUAAUAAAAUUAAUUAAUUUAUCCAAUAAGUCACAAGUGUCCAAACAAAAAUUACAAUGGUAGUCAUAUAUAAAUUCAACUAUCCAAAUAACAAUUAAUACGAUUAAUAUUAAAAGAAGCAUUUAUUAAACUUUUAGUUAAAAAAUUACAGUUAAUAACCAAUUAAACAUGACCUCUUUGUUAGUGAUUCAAAAAUUAUACCAUAUUUUUGUCACAUGUCAUAAAAACUAUACAAUUAUAGUCUGCACUCUUGCUUUUAUUUUAAUAUGGGGUAAAAACACAAUGUUUUGACAAAAGAAAAAAUCUGAGAUAAAAAAAUAUAUAUAUCUUGAAUAGAAUUUGGAUUAGUUGAGGUUUUUUUUCACGCUAACUGCACCAUAACUGAAAAAACAAAUUAAUAUUUAUAACUAACCGAUCCAAAUCAAAACUAAUUUAUUAGCAGCCGAAAAAAUUACUCGGUUUGAUUUAAAUUUCGAUUAUAUCCGCGAUUUGCUCUCCCCUACUUCCAUCCCUGUGAAAUCAUCAUCACAAAUUUUGACAAGAAUGUGAUGCCUUCAACUCUUAAGUGAUAUUUGAUUAUCAAAAUUUAAUUUUUCUAUGGAAAAUAAAAUUUUAGGAAAAUAUUGCAAAAAGUUAAAUUAUCAUAUUUGGAUGAUAAUAAAAGUUUGCUUGGAAAGUAAAUUAAUUAUGAAAAUAAAUGCUAUUAUAUAAUUUUAAAAUAUUUUAUUUUCGAUAAACUUAUAAUUUUCUCAUCAUUUGAGAUGUGAAAGCACUUCCCUAUAGAACAAAUUUGCCUAGACUAGUUAUGACCCAAUUUAUGUACCAAACAAAUGAAAUUAAUAAUUAUUUAAAAAGUAUAUCAACUUUAUCAUUUUUUUUUCUAAAUGUAUGGUCAACAAUACCUUCAUUUUAAUAAAAAUCUUUAAUUUUAUUUGUUCGGCCAUAAGUUGGAGCCAUUGAUCCAUCUAAGUAAAUUUUUUUCCCUUUCCCAUAUGUAUGGAAAAAUAUGGAUGUAGUCUACAUAUCUAAAAAAUUAAUUUUCAUAGAAAAAUACCAACCAAAUAUAAUAAUUCAAUUUUCUGAAAUCACUUUUUAGUGACACUUCGAUUACUAAAUGUCUUUUAAAGUCAUCCUAGUUUUCUAACUAUUGACUUUAGAAAGGAAGAGGUUAGGUUAUAUUACAAAAUAAGAAUUGAGUUGUAAAAAAUGAAUUAAGAACACUGGAUGAAUUGAGGUCGAUAUUUUUAAACUUUUAAACUCAAAAAGGAUUAAUUAUGGAAAGUGGAACCCUCUAUGGUCAUAGACUCAUAAGUAGGGAUAGAAAACGGGAGGAUAUCCCGGGAUACUGUACUUACAGUGAAAUUGCUAACCAUAACGAAUAUAGAUAUAGCAUGUGUAUAGGCCUUUGGGUGCUCCUAUCAUUACAUGCAAUCCAUUACUUGUUAUAUUAAAUAAUUUGGGCAUUGAUACAUAUCCAUUAUUAGUAAAAGAUAUAUUUUUAAAUAAGUUUGUAUUUGGAUAAUUUAAAGUUUGCGGAUACUCUACUUGUUUAAGGGUUAUUUUAAAUGGAUUUAUGAUAGACAUGGAUACUAAAAUUUUAACGAGUUCAGAUACGAGUAUUUAAAUGGUUAUUAAAUAGAAACAUGUAUGACCUACGGGUUAUGAUUUAGUUGCUUGUAGGCUGAACAUAUAGAAAGAUUUCUCGAGUUCGAUUCCCACUAAAUAGACCUACAAAAGAGGCGAAAAGCCUUAAACUAAGCACGGACCGGAUUAGGAGAGCUUACUCAUCCCACUUAUAUUCCCACUAACUUCUUAAAUCUUAACCGGUUUUGAUUUGGGGUGCAAUUGUAAUUAUAAAUUCACCAAAUUAGGGUUCAAUUGCAAAAACAAAAAUUAAUGGGUAAAGCUGUAAAUUUGUGUAAAAUCGAGGGUGAAAAUGACAUCGUCAGUCGUCACGUUCUAUUCAUUUGAUUAUCUGGUUAGUGCCCCAUUGGGUUUUUAUUCAAAUCGUGCGGUGACUAUAUUCUUCUCCUGCUCCGAAUCUUCUAAAACGAGCCUCUUCCCGCCUCUCUAUCUCCUUUUCAAGCGUAUUUUCGAUUUGCAUCUCGAUUAUUUCCUCAGCAGUAAUAAUCUUGCGGCAUACUGUACUCUCUCUGCUGUGAUUCUUCGAAGAAACCCUAAUCGUAAGGUACUUUUUUUCUUUCCUUACAACGAUAAAAAUUUGAAAAUUUUUUAGAAAGGAAUGCAUCUGAGUAAAUAGUUAUUGUAUUGAAGUAUCCAACUUGCUGGUGAAUAUUAUGAGCAUUGGACCAAAUCAUUUAAUGAGUUUUAAAUUUUAGUGUUCACUGGAUUAUUUUCCUAUUAAUUUUUCUGGAUGGUUAAACAGCUUGUUUUUUCUGUUUCUAAUGGACGCUAAGCAAAGUUGAACUCAAACUUCCACAUUGAAGCUCUGGAACGCUUAUAUAAGCUUAUUUGAAAAUUGUUUCUCGGUCUACACUAGCUAUUUGUCAACUGAAUCAUAUGAAAUGUCCGUCUACUUAUUUCUUUUUUUAGCUUUCUUGAAUUUUGGACAAAAACACGACUCUUUCCUGCCUACCUAUGUGAUGCAUUUGGUCCUAUCAUGCCAAUGUAAUUCGAAAGGGGAAAAUAUGAAGGACUUAUUUUCGCGUUGAUUCUAGAGAUCCACUUAGCCCUGAAAAGAAAGAAUACCCCAAAGAAAGUUUAAUUUGCUAGAAAGCUUUUAGGUAGUGACAUAAAAGAUGAAUGGAAUUUGCCUUAGUUCUAUUGAUUUUCCCCAUUUGGUUUAGAGUUUCUUUUGACUUUGAGUGGUUUUGCAUCUGGGUUUGGUUUGUUUCAGUUUAUAAUUGAUUGUUGUAGCAUCAUUUUCAUUAAAUCCUCUUAGGCUAUUGGGUUUGCUUUUUUGAUUUAUCAAUUUAAUGCUUAUGGUCCUUGGAGUGCCAUUUUCAAGUAAAUUCUCAUGGUUACAUGAGGCUUGUGGUUAUUUAGUCUAACAUUGUACGUGUGUGUUGGGGUUGGGUAGAGUUUAGAGUUCUUCAAUUAUGUUUGUAUGUGGAAUUUAUGGGUGAUCCUAAUUGGUUGCUAGAUUAGAACAUACUUCAGAUCUAAUUGUUUCCUAUUAUCUGUAAAACAAUUUCAGAUAAUAGGCUUUUGUUUUUACUUUCAAUUUCAUUAUUUUGACUGUGUUGAUUCAAAAUCAGCUGGAGUCUUGCGGGUUUGCUUUCUGCCUACUUUCUGUUCUAUUCAUCUCUCUUAUUUAUUUUUUUUUUCUUUCAAUUUUGGAAUUUUAAGGUUCUAUAAUUUCCAUUUCAGUUUAUGUUGAUUACUGUUUCUUUUGUUCUGUGUGGAUUCAGUUAUCAGUAUCACAGUUCAUUAAAUAGGAUCACCCAACAAGAACUAUAAACUUUGUAUUCAUGCAAGGACAGCAUGUAGAAUAGUUGAAGCAGCUUGAGCAAUUCCUGGUAUGACUUGACAUCUCUCUCUCUCUCUCUCUCUCUCUCUCUCUAAAAUUUUGACCUUUUCUGUUAAUCAAUGAGAUGUUGAUAAUUUAUAGUUUGCAAAUGUCAUGGAGUAGCUUUAAUUCAUCUCUAGGUUAUCCUUCAGCAUAACUAUUAGUAUCAGAAUAAAUUUAAGAUCUUGUGGAAGUUAUCUUAUCUUCUCGAUGAAUUAAUAAUAAUGGUAUAAUAAUUCAUUGUAAGGCCUGAAUGUUAAAAUGUUAAGACCUGAAGUCUUCAAACCAAAUGUAAGUGUUUUGCCUUGUGAGAAAAUGAUGAGAGAAGAAAAUGGGAAAUAUGUGACCUAGAGAGAGAGGAAAGACUGCAGAAUUUUAUUGCUACAAAUAUGGGUCUUUCUAAAUUCAGUCAAUGUUGUUGUUGUUGUUGUUUCUAAACGUAGAACAUCUAUUUAUCUUCACUCCAAUAUGCUAUUUUCUCAAUAUGGUAAUUUCUUAGUUCAGAAGAAGUCACUUUAUGAUUUUUAUGCAAUAGAUAGAACUUUUGCUUUUCCAUUUGUCUUUGGAUGUUAUGAUUUGCAGUCAGCACAAACAUAAAAUUAGGUGGCCGAAACAGCAAUCUAUUUGAAUUAUAUUCAUAUAGUUGUAUCUUAUGUAUGCUAUUGUCACUAUGGAUGCACUUUUAAUGAUCUACGUAACGGUUAAGGUAACCAUCUAGAGCUAGUUAACUGUUAUUGGGUGCUGAUGUUUAACUAUUUGUUGGUCCUUUUAACACCAAUUGAUUCAUUCAAAUGAAUUUGAUUGGUUUCAUCCAUGGAAAAAAAAAAAAAAAAAAGAAUUAGAAUGGCUCAAUAAGGUCCUUGUUGCUCUCUUCAUUGUUUUGAGCAUUAAAAUAAGAAACUUCUUUCUCCGUUUCACUCUCCCUUGGAUCAACAUCUAUCAAUAUUGUUCUUCCCUGAUUGCUAUUUGUCUAUCUUAGUUGUGGGAUGCUCAUAAAAAUUAGGAAUUUUAAUAGAAUUAAAAUCGAGAGCUAUUACCAGCCUCUCCUCUAAUCUUAUACCACGUUCGGAAUGUUAACGAAUCAUGGGAUUAUUAAACAAGUUGGUAUACUCAGGGAAAAUAUUGUUUAGCUUCAAAUGAUGGAACUUCUCAUGCAUUUCUAUUUAUAAUCAGCUGGCAAAAAUUGCUUUCAUAGCUUAGUUUUCAUGUGCUGCCAAGUGCUUAUUUUAAGCUUGCUUUGUCAUGUACUUUGCUUUUUCAAUUCUCGUCCACCAUUGAGGUUCAUUACCCUUCAAUUUAAGCUUUACAAUUGCACCUUUCAAUUUUCAGCAUGGGUUUCCAUUCUAAGUAAUUCCCUAGAUUGGCUUCCUAAUCCAAAUAGUUCUCCACAUAUAACUUUCCAUGAAAUUGAACUGCUUCAACCUUUAAUCCUCCACCAUUCAAAUCAAGUGCAUGUAGUAACUUCUCUUCCAAUCCACCUCGUGUUGCUUGGUUUGUGGGUCGAACAUCAUGAAAGGGUUACUUGACUUUCCUUUCAAUCUCAAGGUCUCCCGAAUUUUGAGUUGUUCAUGGUGGGCUCUUGGAUUCUCCAUCGUGCUUCUACAGUUUCUUGACACUACAAGGCUUGUAUAGCCCUAGACAAAUCCUCGGUCAUUCUUUGCAUCUUAGCCAAUUCUGUUUGUUGGGGCCGAUUGUUUCUAUAUUGAUCUCUGCCCCUACAACCAUAGUUUAGAAGAGGGAAAAAAAAAUCUAAAGUAAUCAAGGGUCUUUUAUUCUUUGCUGCUUUAAUAUUAUUAAUUUGAAAAACAAAAAUCGUGCUUUCCAAAAUGUAACUAAGAUUUGGAAAACAAGUUUAGAAUAUUUUCCUUUGUUUUCUCUUAUAACAAAAGUCAUGUUUUUCAAUUGCUUUCAGUUAAAAAAAUAAAUUUUUUAUAAUUAAAAAUUAUAAUAUACAUAAACUUGUUCUAAAAAAAAUAUUUUAUUGAAUAAUCAUAAAAUGUAUUUAAAUAAAUUAAUAAAUAUUUUUAUUUUUAAUUUUAUAUUGUGAUUUAAUUAGUAAUUAAUUUUAUCAUUAUAAAAUAUAUAUUUAUAAUGAAAACAUUUAUUUUUGAAAAAUUUUACGACGUGAUAAAAAUUGAUAAUAUUAUUAUAAAUAAAUCAAUAGUACAUAUUUAAAAAAAAAAAUCUAAAAUAAAAAAUUUUCUAAAUAUCUUUUAUAAUAUUUUGCUUUUUUAUGAAAGUUAUGAAUAUUUUUAUUUAUUUUUUGAAUUGAAAUAAUAUUUUACUUAUUAAUAAGUGAAUGUGCUUUCCAUUUAUUCGUUCUUUUUUUUUUCAUUUUCCAAAAAAAUUAUUUUUUUAGAAAAUAGAAAGCAAAAAACUGUUUUCUAUCUGUAAACACACCCUUUAUGUUUGGAUUUUUCAAGAAUAAAUUUAUGUGGUGAAUAUUUUGCUAAGAAUAAUAUAUAGUUCCUUUAUAUUAGCAUGAGCUGUAUUGUUCCUGUAGCGUUGAGCAAGCAAAGUGUUCAGAAUGCAUAUUUUCAUGUAAUAUAUAUAUAGUGAUUGGAAGCAUUAUUGUCAUUUUAGCUUCAGCAUAGUUUUCUUCCUCUUUUCAUUGUCAAUUGUAAACUCUUGUUGAUUUUCGUUUGUACAAAUCUGCAGGGAUGAUGUGAACAUGAAAGUUGUUCAAUGGAUAUCCCGAGAUUCUAAGGGGCCUAGCAUUUUAACUUUGCAGGUUAAUAUGUUGAAGCAACAAUGAUAAUUUGAAAUAGCUUCUCGUUUUUGUGCCCUUGAAUCAAUUUGGAGUUGGUUUGUUUGGGGAUUUGAUUAGUGAUGGAAUGCAAUAAAGAAGAGGCAGCAAGGGCGAAGGGGAUUGCUGAGCAAAAGAUGCGAAACAAUGAUUUUGUUGGUGCUCAUAAAAUUGCACUCAGAGCCCAACAUCUUUAUAAAGAUUUGGACAAUAUUUCCCAGAUGCUAAUGGUUUGUGCUGUGCAUUGUGCUGCUGAUAAGAAACUGUUUGGGAAUGAGAUGGACUGGUAUGGCAUCCUUCAGAUUGAGCCGACAGCUGAUGAGGCCACAAUUAAGAAGCAGUACAGGAAGUUUGCUCUCUUACUUCACCCUGACAAAAAUAAGUUCCCCGGCGCAGAGGCUGCUUUCAAGUUGAUUGGUGAAGCUCAAAGGGUGCUAUCAGACAAAGGAAACAGAUCCUUGUAUGACAUUAAACGGAAAGUUUCCAUAAGUAAAUCAGCAGCGCCUUACAUGCCUCAUCAGAGAGCAACUUAUAGCUCAAAAAUUGGGGUUCAAAACAAUUAUAGGAGCAACUUCGUGGGCUUCAAUCUUCAACAGGAGCACACACAGCAGUCAAUACAUCAACAGGGGUCCAUCAAUGGUCAUGCGACUUUCCAGACGGCUUGUCCAUUCUGUGAUGUGAAGUACCAGUAUCAUGUUAAUCUUUUGUAUAGGUAUCUUCUUUGUCAAAAUUGUAGUAAGCACUUUAUAGCACGUCAUUGUCUUGCGCAAGGGGCUCCAACAGGAACUAAUUCGAACCAAUCAGCAAUUCCCCCAAGGAAAGAUGUGCCAAAUCAUGGUUCUAUCAAAGAACUUGACCGUCAGAACAAUUCAAGUUCUGAGCAAUCUAAAACCGAGUCCUUUCAAAAGAAAGGUUGCGAUCCCAAGUUGGCUUCACAAAAGGCAAAUGGCAAAAGGCGGAGGAAAAAAGACUCCGAUAGUAGCAUUUAUAGUGAAAAUGUGGUAGUUGAUGAAGCUGGUGAUUUUGAGGAAGGAUUGAAUUCAAGAUGUUUUGAUGAAUACCGAAGGAGAUCUGAUCGACAUAAACAGAAGGUUUCUUGCAAGGAAAAUUUGAGUGAUGAUGAAGACUUUGUGACCCAUCCAAAAAGGGCCAAGGGGAGUGGAUCAUCCUGCGCAACUGAAGAGGAGUACAGAAAUGGCUUAAAGGACGAUUUUCUUAAAGCAACAAAGUAUUCUGGUCUAGCUUCUUGUGAAAAAGGUCAUAAUGGGGAGAAACAAAAAGCAGGUCCAAAGAGCUCUUUAGAAGAAAAUCAUCAUGAGAGAAGCAAUGAGGUUCAUAUUCAUUCUGCUUCAGAUUCAAGCUCCAAAUCUGUAUCUGAUCCUGAGCUCCAUGAGUGUCCUGAUCCAGAUUUCAAUGACUUUGACAAAGGCCGGAAUGAAGGUUGUUUUUCGGUAGGGCAGAUCUGGGCUGUAUAUGAUACCUUGGAUGCUAUGCCUAGAUUUUGUGCUCUAAUUAGGAAAGUUUUCUCUCCUAAGUUCAAAUUGCGGGUAACCUGGCUGGAGUCAAACCCAGAUGAUGAGGAUGGAAUUGAAUGGGUCAAUGAGGGUUUGCCAACUUCAUGUGGUAAUUUCAGACAUGGAGACUCUGAAAAUACUGAAAAUUGUCUUAUGUUCUCACAUGUCAUCAGCUGGGAAAAGGGCAGCCAGAGGAACACGUACAAGAUAUUUCCAAGAAAAGGAGAAAUUUGGGCUGUCUUUAAGAACUGGGAUAUUAAAUGGAAAUCUGAUGUGGACACUAACCGGAAGUUUGAAUAUGAAUUUGUAGAAAUCUUGUCAGAAUAUACUGAGGAUGUUGGUGCAUCUGUUGCAUAUUUGGGCAAGGUUAAGGGCUAUGUGAGUCUUUUUUGUCGAAUCAGCAAGGAAGGAA